CGAGGUAGGCGAGCGUUGUUCGGAAUUAUUGGGCGUAAAGGGCGCGUAGGCGGUUCUGCAAGCCCGGCGUGAAAAUCUGGAGCUUAACUCCGGAACUGCGUUGGGAACUGCGGGACUAGAGUCAUAGAAGGGGAGUUGGAAUUCCAGGUGUAGGGGUGAAAUCUGUAGAUAUCUGGAAGAACACCGGUGGCGAAGGCGAACUCCUGGCUGAUGACUGACGCUGAGGCGCGAAAGUGCGGGGAGC
rnacentral:rRNA from 1 species